rnacentral:misc_RNA from 1 species
UGUUCACUCGUGGUUCUUGUGUUGCCUACCCGUUUAGCGGUAUUCAUGUGCCUCUUAAGACCCGUUCAAUCCAGACCCCUUCUAGGGAGCGCUGGUGAGUUCGAAAGUGAUGCAUGUUUUGCGUUAGCUGUGCAUUGCAACGGUUGGCGUGCUAACAUGUGUCUAUUGUUCCCUCGGAUGCGGUGCAUGCGGUGAACGUGGGCUGACGAUUGUGCCCCGUUGAGUCCCUUUUAAUUAUCGGUUGCCUUGAAUGACACUUUGUCGUAGUGCUAGUGUUGAUUUACCAUUCGUGGUGUCAACACUAGUAUGUCGAGCAGAGUCGUUGAUGGAUGCUACCUGGUUGAUCCUGCCAGUAGUCAUAUGCU